AACGUCACCGGAUCGGCGCCGCGGGUGACCAUCAGGUAGUCGCGCAUGACGAUCGCGUGACGUGCUUC
rnacentral:sRNA from 1 species